UCAGUAUAAAUUUAUAUGAUAUAUGUAAUUUUUUUAUAAAAAAAAAUAAUUUUGCAAUAUUUAAAUUUAAAUAUUAAAGUAAUUUAGAUUUAGUAAUUUUUUUUAGUACUAACAAAAUUAGUGCCAGCAGUUGCGGUUAUACUUAUAGUACAAUUGAAAUUUAUUGGUUUAGAAAAAAUGUUUAUUAUUUAAAAAAAAUAAUAUUUUUAGGUGAAAUUUAAAUAUUUAUUUUUAUUAUUUUAUUGGUUUCUGUAAAUUAAUUUAAAAACUAGGAUUAGAUACCCUAUUAUUAAUACUUAAAUUUAUUUCCUUAUUAUUAAUAGAUAUGUUCUUUAAAGUAAAAAUAUUUGGCGGUGUUUUAAUCUUUUUAGAGGAACCUGUUCUUUAAUUGAUAAUCCACGAUUAAAAUUACUUGUUUUUAAAAAUUUAUAUAUCGUUGUUUAAAAUAUAUUUAGAGGUAAUAUUUAUUAGUUUUAAUAAAUUUAAUUCAGAUCAAGGUGUAGUUUAUAAACAAGUAGAAAUGGGUUACUAUUAAAUAUAUAAGAAUUUAAAUUUUAAAACUUUAAUGAAUGUGGAUUUAAAAGUAAAUUUUAAUAUUUAUUGAUUUUGACUAAAGCUCUGAAACAUGUACAUAUCGCCCGUCGCUUUCAUUUAAAUUGAAAUAAGUCGUAACAAAGUAGAUUUACUGGAAAGUGAAUCUAGAAAUUCAAGGUAAAGCUUUAUAAGAGUAUU
rnacentral:ncRNA from 1 species